rnacentral:rRNA from 1 species
GACGAACGCUGGCGGCGUGCUUAACACAUGCAAGUCGUACGGUAAGGCCCUUUCGGGGGUCCACGAGUGGCGAACGGGUGAGUAACACGUGAGUAACCUGCCCACAACUUUGGGAUAACGCUAGGAAACUGGUGCUAAUACUGGUUAUGUGCUCCUGCUGCAUGGUGGGGGUUGGAAAGCUCCGGCGGUUGUGGAUGGACUCGCGGCCUAUCAGCUUGUUGGUGGGGUAGUGGCCUACCAAGGCGGCGACGGGUAGCCGGCCUGAGAGGGUGACCGGCCACAUUGGGACUGAGAUACGGCCCAGACUCCUACGGGAGGGAGCAGUGGGGAAGAGUGAACAAUGGGCGCAAGCCUGAUGCAGCAACGCCGCGGGCGGGAUGACGGCCUUCGGGUUGUAAACCGCUUUCAGCAGGGACGAAGCUUUUUGUGACGGUACCUGCAGAAGAAGCACCGGCUAACUACGUG